AAAUACUCUUCAUAAGGAGGUAUAUGAAGUUGGACAGCUAACAAAGUAGCUACAAGAGUCUUGGUAGUAUAGAUACUUACAACGGAAUCAAGGAUAACUUGAGUAUCAAAUAUAUCUAGGAAAAGCUGCUUUGAGAAAAAAAGAAAAGCAUCUUGGAAAUUACUGGGCACAUAGAUAAUCACUGCAUAGAUUCUGGCCUCCAUCCACUGAUAAAAAAAAUACACAAACCAAUUAUUUUAAUUCUUGUCUACUAGAAAUGAGGGUCUCAAAAUAUUCAAGGAGUUCUAGCUAUUUUGCUAACAGAUAAUAUGCAUCUUUUUACUUCCAAACUAUGUUAGAGGCUUUGCUUUGCUUUUUUUUUUUUGUGAUUAUUCUCAUAAGUAAAAUCAAUAUUUCUUUACAAAACCUAAGAUUUAAUUCCAGAAAUUAAUACUAUUUCAAAAUCCAUUCCCAUUUUCAUGAACAAUAGGCAAAUGAUAAAGUCAACUGUAGAUAUUAUGCAAGUUCCACAAGGAAAGAAACUAAUUCUUUUUUUCUUUAUUUACUCUUUCGGAUUACUUAUACAAGUGUAAAACCAGACCUCUUAAACAGUUAAUAAAUAAAGAACAGAGACAAAAUUGUACAAAAAAGAAGCAAAAAGGGACUGCCCACUAGACCAAGGUUACAAGAUUGUUUGGGAAGCUCCCUCUUUGGUGAGGCUAUCCAUGAUAGCAUUGGCUUCAUGCCAUACUUGUUGGGAAGACACCUCAAGAGAUUUAGUGGGCUCAAAAAUAUUCAAACACCAGUUUAGUCUCCAGGCGCAAAUAGAAAUCCUACUAGCCCAAUUGAUUCCUAGUUUUGUUUUGUACAUGAUACAUUUGUAUAUGUCAGUGAAGUGUAUUCCCCCACGCUGGAUGUGGUCCACCAUGAGAGCCUUUUUGCUAAUCAACAACCAAUCUAGAAGCUAGGUUUUGGGCCGGGCUGGGGAGAUCCAUACCUCGCUGGCAAUGGCAGGGGAAGAUCGCCAAAGCAUCUCAUAGAAAGAUGUUCUGCCAAAAAGAACCCUAAUUUAGCUGGCUCUUACACCAUCUUGUCCCUGCCAUGGUGAGGAAGGAAAUUUGGAUUUAGGGGUUAAAGCAGGAUUAUCAGGUCUCGAAUUUCAUCAUUGGACAGUUCCAUUCUAAACCUCGAAUCAAACAACAUGCCUAAAGAGAACUUUGUUUGCAUUCGAGACUUGGUCAGCUGCCACUGGGAAGAUGAUAGAAAGCUUAAGGCAAAGUAAAUACAUUUAGUAAGA
rnacentral:lncRNA from 1 species